UGGGGAAUAUUGCACAAUGGGCGCAAGCCUGAUGCAGCCAUGCCGCGUGUGUGAAGAAGGCCUUCGGGUUGUAAAGCACUUUCAGCGAGGAGGAAGGGUUCAGUGUUAAUAGCACUGUUCAUUGACGUUACUCGCAGAAGAAGCACCGGCUAACUCCGUGCCAGCAGCCGCGGUAUACGGAGGUGCAAGCGUUAAUCGGAAUUACUGGGCGUAAAGCGCACGCAGGCGGUUUGUUAAGUCAGAUGUGAAAUCCCCGCGCUUAACGUGGGAACUGCAUUUGAAACUGGCAAGCUAGAGUCUUGUAGAGGGGGGUAGAAUUCCAGGUGUAGCGGUGAAAUGCGUAGAGNUCUGGAGGAAUACCGGUGGCGAAGGCGGCCCCCUGGACAAAGACUGACGCUCAGGUGCGAAAGCGUGGGGAGCAAACAGGAUUAGAUACCCUGGUAGUCCACGCUGUAAACGAUGUCGACUUGGAGGUUGUGCCCUUGAGGCGUGGCUUCCGGAGCUAACGCGUUAAGUCGACCGCCUGGGGGAGUACGGCCGCAAGGUUAAAAC
rnacentral:rRNA from 1 species